AGGAGAUUAACAUCAAGGAGCCCACAUUUGCAAUAGCGGGUGGUGCUGGGGGGAGAGGCGAGGGGAAAAUAAAAUAAAAGCAACAAUCGGGUAAAUGCUCCUCUCUUCUCGCCACCAGCACCUUGCACAGGUCUGAAAUCGCUUGUUUUGCUUUGCUGUAUUGCGCUUGCCUGGGCUGUGGAGAGGGGAGGGGGAGGGGAGGAAGGGGGAGGUUUAACUUUUACUUGACAUUACCGGGUUAUUGUCACUUCCCCCGUGUUAAACCCCGGCGGUUUCCCCUCGCCCCCACCCCCUCCCCGGGCUCGGCUCCCUCCAGUUAACUUUGUUCAAAGGGCUGCAGCCGGGAGGGCUUGUCCGGGCCUGGGACACAGAUAGCGUAAAGUAAAUAACCACCACAAUUAGGCUGGGGCCGCGAGUUGAUCUUCGUGGCGAGAGAUCUGCUUAGUUAGCGUUUGCUGUUUCGGGGCGAUUGAAGGCCGCCGUGCCAAGGACACGCACACGCACACACACAGACACACACAGUCACUCUUACACACGCACGCUGGAUACAAAAGUCUGGAGGAUCUAGGGGAGAAUUGCAGCCGCCGGAUCAGUGCAGCAGCCGCGGCCAGAGCCAUGCGUGUCACGGCCUCCUGAGGGGGGAAAAGGAAGGAAGGGAGGAAGGAGGAAAAAACAAAAGAGAGAAAGAAAGAAGGAAAAAAGAAAAGAGGGAGAAAGGAAAGGAGAAGAAAGACGCGGGGUGGUGGAAAGUGUUUGCCUGCUUUUGUCUCGCAAUACAGUGAACUGGAAGAUGGAGAUGGAUGUUAAGGGAGUUUCUCCGUGCCCGGAGCCCAUCCCCCCGGCGGCGGGGUCUGGCGGCUGCCCGCACCAGCGCCCGCACCACCGCGAUGGGCAGCCCGCGGAGCCGGCCCCCGCCGCCGACAGCGGCCACCCGGAGCGGAGGCACGGCACUGAGAAAGAGGACAAAAAGGCAUCUACACAGAAGCAUUCUGGAUUUCAUUUGGCAUGGUGCUUGUGACUGAUUACAAAAUCUGCUGCUGAAGCAACUUUAGAAGUGGUGGAAGACCUAUGGUUGUGGAUCCUUUGCACAUAUAAAUGUUAUUGUGUGUGUCUGUUUGACCAUGGUAGGAUAUUUAAUGUAUCAUAGAAACAAGUUUUGUAUCUCCAUUUCAGUGUCCUUCUCAUCAUAGAACCUUCCUUUCAAACAUAUUUUCCUUUGUUUGAGUCUUUAAAAUACCUUGAAAACCCGAAACCUUGAAAAAUUGUAACACUCUAUGAGAAAUAUACACUAUUGUCAUCUUCUGGGGAAAAGGGGAACUUUACUGUGUCCGCUGUUUUUGUAAGUGAAAUGUGGUGUACAGCAUGCUAAGUAACUGCUCAGUCAAAUGUCAGUGUAAAUUCAGAAAUCCUCAGAAGAGGAAAGAAAUAAAUAUUUUUAUUUUCUCUAAAAGCUUCCCUGU
rnacentral:lncRNA from 1 species